rnacentral:rRNA from 1 species
AGUGAAUAGAUACCCGAGGUAGUCCACGCCCUAAACGAUGUCAACUGGUUGUUGGGUCUUCACUGACUCAGUAAACGAAAGCUAAACGCGUGAAGUUGACCGCCUGGGGAGUACGGCCGCAAGGUUAAAACUCAAAGGAAUUGACGGGGACCCGCACAAGCGGUGGAUGAUGUGGUUUAAUUCGAUGCAACGCGAAAAACCUUACCCACCUUUGACAUGUACGGAAUCCUGCAGAGACGCAGGAGUGCUCGAAAGAGAGCCGUGACACAGGUGCUGCAUGGCUGUCGCCAGCUCGUGUCGUGAGAUGUUGGGUUAAGUCCCGCAACGAGCGCAACCCUUGCCAUUAGUUGCUA